rnacentral:rRNA from 1 species
GUAAGGAAUAUUGGACAAUGGACGCAAGUCUGAUCCAGCCAUGCCGCGUGAAGGAUUAAGGUCCUCUGGAUUGUAAACUUCUUUUAUAAGGGACGAAAAAAGGCUUUUCUAAGUCGUCUGACGGUACCUUAUGAAUAAGCACCGGCUAACUCCGUGCCAGCAGCCGCGGAAAUACGGAGGGUGCAAGCGUUAUCCGGAUUCACUGGGUUUAAAGGGUGCGUAGGCGGGCAGGUAAGUCAGUGGUGAAAUCCUAGAGCUUAACUCUAGAACUGCCAUUGAUACUAUCUGUCUUGAAUAUUGUGGAGGUAAGCGGAAUAUGUCAUGUAGCGGUGAAAUGCUUAGAUAUGACAUAGAACACCUAUUGCGAAGGCAGCUUACUACGCAUAUAUUGACGCUGAGGCACGAAAGCGUGGGGAUCAAACAGGAUUAGAAACCCCUGUAGUCC